AUGAACGCUGGCGGCGUGCCUAAUACAUGCAAGUUGAGCGAACAGACGAGGAGCUUGCUUCUCUGACGUUAGCGGCGGACGGGUGAGUAACACGUGGAUAACCUACCUAUAAGACUGGGAUAACUUCGGGAAACCGGAGCCAAUACCGGAAAAUAUAUUGAACCGCCUGGUUCAAUAGUGAAAGACGGUUUUGCUGUCACUUAUAGAUGGAUCCGCGCCGCAUUAGCUAGUUGGUAAGGUAACGGCUUACCAAGGCAACGAUGCGUAGCCGACCUGAGAGGGUGAUCGGCCACACUGGAACUGAGACACGGUCCAGACUCCUACGGGAGGCAGCAGUAGGGAAUCUUCCGCAAUGGGCGAAAGCCUGACGGAGCAACGCCGCGUGAGUGAUGAAGGUCUUCGGAUCGUAAAACUCUGUUAUUAGGGAAGAACAAAUGUGUAAGUAACUAUGCACGUCUUGACGGUACCUAAUCAGAAAGCCACGGCUAACUACGUG
rnacentral:rRNA from 1 species